UCUUGCUUGCAUUUUCUGGACCCUGUUGUUUGUUGUUCUUCAGAGGCAGCGGAAAUCGAGAGAGAUGUUGGAUAUCAAUCUCUUCAGAGAAGAGAAGGGUAACAAUCCUGAAAUCAUCCGCGAAUCUCAGCGCCGCCGAUUUGCUAACGUUGAACUCGUUGAUGAAGUCAUUAAGCUUGAUAAGGAAUGGCGUCAACGCCAAUUUGAGCUCGAGAAUCUCAGGAAGGAGUUCAACAAGAUCAACAAGCAAAUUGCUCAGCUCAGAAUAGCUGGUGAGGAUGCAUCGGAGAAGAUUAAAGAUACUGAAGAAAAUAAAAAGUUGUCUGCAGAGAAAGAUGUUGAAGCUAAAGAUGUGCUGAAACAGUUGAACUCAAAAUUGGAAAUAAUCGGAAACCUUGUGCACGAUUCAGUUCCAGUCAGCAAUGAUGAGGCUAACAAUGCUAUAAUCAGAUCGUGGGGUGAGAAACUGGUAAAACCCAAACUGAAGAAUCAUGUUGAUCUUGUUGAGCUUCUUGGAAUUGCAGAUACCAAAAAAGGUUCUGAAAUAGCAGGAGGCAGAGGCUUCUACCUAAAAGGAGACGGUGUACGUUUGAACCAAGCUUUGAUAAACUAUGGCCUUGACUUUUUGGAGAAAAGGGGUUAUACAGCUCUGCAGACUCCUUUCUUCAUGAGAAAAGAUAUUAUGGCUAGAUGUGCUCAACUAGCACAAUUUGAUGAAGAACUCUACAAGGUUACUGGUGAGGGGGAUGAUAAAUAUCUAAUUGCCACUGCUGAACAACCACUUUGUGCAUAUCAUCUUGAAGAUUGGAUUCAUCCUUCCCAAUUGCCUAUAAGAUAUGCUGGAUAUUCGUCUUGCUUUCGCAAAGAAGCGGGUUCCCAUGGCCGGGAUACUUUGGGAAUUUUUCGAGUCCACCAGUUUGAGAAAGUAGAGCAAUUUUGUAUGACCAGCCCGAAUGGCAAUGAUUCAUGGGACAUGCAUGAGGAGAUGAUUAAAAACUCCGAGGACUUCUAUAAGACGUUAAAUCUCCCUUACCAAGUUGUGGCCAUAGUUUCUGGUGCAUUAAAUGAUGCAGCUGCCAAGAAAUAUGAUUUGGAAGCAUGGUUUCCUGCAUCUCAGACUUACAGGGAGCUAGUAUCCUGUUCAAAUUGCACUGACUAUCAAUCCAGAAGGUUAGAGAUCCGAUAUGGUCAGAAAAAGAGCAAUGAGCAAACGAAGCAAUAUGUGCAUUUGCUAAAUUCUACUCUCACAGCAACAGAAAGGACUCUGUGCUGCAUUCUUGAGAACUACCAGAAAGAAGAUGGGGUUGAGAUACCAGAAGUUCUACAACCAUUUAUGGGUGGAAAGACCUUUCUACCCUUCAAAGCGAAGCCAUCGACGAGCGAAGCCAAAGGGAAGAAAUCGAAGGCCUAAUUGCAUUUUUCUUUUCUCCACUUUGAUUUAUAAAUUAUCUGACUCAAGGGAAGGAAAUUGCUCACAAUAUUGUUGGAACUUCAAAUUAUCUUUUUGGGCUCGCAAUCGUUUCCAAUCUUGUGAAGCAAGCCCAAAGCUCACUCCAAUAAUGAAAUUCUUGGACCACUCCCACAUGGUCUGGAAACUCUUAUUUAGAAAAUUCAGAUUAGGUUUGAGAUGACGUAUCGAUAUCGAAUGCAGCUGCUACAAUAUAACUAUCACUUUUAUAAUCGUUGAGUCGUGGUCAUGUUUUGGCAGCUGGGUUCAUAGUCGUUAGAUGUGUGGAAAGUAUGAUAUUGCUAUCGCUUUUUCAAUAGUUAGAUCUGUGGAAAAGAGAAUUCAAAACUGUGGUCACGUUUUGGCAGCCAGUUUUGGCAACGUUGUCGUUUUGAUGAGAAAUUGAAGUCAGAUUGAAAAAAAGAGAUUAAUUGCUGCAAAA